rnacentral:rRNA from 1 species
AUUGAACGCUGGCGGCAGGCCUAACACAUGCAAGUCGAACGAGUGGCGGACGGGUGAGUAAUGUCUGGGAAACUGACUGAUGGAGGGGGCUAAAUACUGGAAACGGUAGCUAAUACCGCAUACCAUCAGAUAUGACCAGAUGGGAUUAGCUAGUAGGUGGGGUAACGGCUCACCUAGGCGACGAUCCCUAGCUGGUCUGAGAGGAUGAACAGCCACACUGGAACUGAGACACGGUCCAGACUCCUACGGAAGUCAUCAGUGGAUAAAAUGUCACUAUGGGCGCAAGCCUGAUGCAGCCAUGCCGCGUGAAUGAAGAAGGCCUUCGGGUUGUAAAGUACUUUCAGCGGGGAGGCGUUACCCGCAGAAGAAGCACCGGCUAACUCAGUGCCAGCAGCCGCGGUAAUAC